GCGGAUUUCCUUUUUGUUCAAGCAAAUAUCCGAUUAAAAUCAAGACUACUUUUUCUCGUCAAUUUUUUUAAGAGUCUGGACUCCGGAUCCAAGAGACUUUUUUUCCAGUGUUUCAAUAAAAGUUAAUUAAUAUCUGUAAUCUCAAAAGUUAACGUUUAAUAACUUGAGUUGCUGAAUUUAUUCUAAAAUUACUCUCGAAUAAUCUCAUUUUGUCACGACUUGUCCCAUUUUUUUUUUUUUAUGAAUGAGCGACUCUUGGCCUUUAGUUCUUCAUCGAUGCGCUUGAUUUUACUCAGCGUUUUUUAACAUUUUUUUUUUUUGAAGCCCUUCUCGCAAUGAGUAUUCGUUUUGGUUUUUUCUGCAUGAUUAUCACAUCAUUAUCGACAGUAUAAUCAAAACUAAGGCACUACAAACUUUGAAAUGAUCGGUCAGGAACGUCAUAUUAAUACGUAUAAAACAUUUUAAGAUUUGUGCAAUGAAAGGAUUAGGUCUUAUAGGAUUGAGCGGCAUCACAGUGAGGACGCUCUUAAAAAUAGGUAAUGAUGAGAACUCUUUAUUUGGGAUGUUUUCAGGUGGUUAGCGUGGAAAAGACACAAGUUGACAGCACAUUGCACCUAGGAAAGCGGUCGAGCUACGAACGGAUGAGAUAACAUAAUCAUUAAUGAAAUCAGUGUGGCGUAGGGCGGAACUAAAAUUGUUUCCGCGAACAUAUACAUCUUCUUCAGCGAAUAAUUCCUGGUUCAGUAAUACGCGAGUUAAAAAGCUUGCUAGAAAACUUUACGCCACGUCUACCACAGAAACACCGCGAAGACCUCAUUUGAGCUCACCCUUUGAAUUGACGAGAAAAAUUGACGAGAGGCAAAAUUUAAGUAAAAAUAUAAUUAAAAAACUCUUUAAGAUAACGUGAUUUUUUACGUGAAAAUUUCUUUUUGCUAAAAUUUUUUUUUAAGUAUAUACUUAAAAUAGUGUUAAAAAAUUAGUGUAUUAAUUUCAAGAGUUUUUCAGAGUUUUUUUUUUAAUUAACAUAGAAUUUAAAUCAUACACUGUCACAACUAUACCGCAUUUAUCUAGUGGUAUCUAUUGACUAAGUUUUCAUUAAAUUAUUUACAGGAUUUAUCUAAAUGAAACUUAUGAUGAGUGUUACGGAUGAGAGUCGUGUUGCAAUUUAGACGGACUGAAACGUCUAAAUAACCCUCAUGGGCAUACUAGAAAUAGCGAGAUUUGUGGGAGAGCAAAGAAUUGAACGCAGUGAGUUUGAUGCACGAAUGAACUGUAUUAAAGAUGAGCACUUGGAAUAAAUUAACAAAAUUAACAAAGUUGCAAUGUCACAGAGAGAUAUGUGCCUUAAAGGCGAGAGAGGCACAGUGUACUUGUACGCUGUACGGGUCGGGGAUGGAAAUCGACUCGGGUCUGAGAUGAGAGAUGGAAGUAGAAAAGACCUAGAUUUUUAGGCAACCCACGCUUAUAUAGACUUGCUGACGUCACGGGUGGUGAGACAACAAGGCUAUGCGUGUUUGGUUGGCUAUAAUCUAUGUAGGUAUCAGUUGCAAGUCUGGUAAUUAAAGUAAUGGGUAAUAAGAAGCGAUGUUGGAAAGAUAGGGGUAAAAAAGUAGAAAGUGGACCGAAUCCAGCAAGUCCUAAUGACUAUACUGAGAGUUUAAGAAAAAUAUUGAAAAUACUAAGGGAAAAUACGAGUUGGUGUUGACAUCCCCUGGGGAGAGAAAAUUGCGACCUCGCAAUUCAAAAAUAAAAAAAAGUAAACAAAAAAUGGGCCAGAAGGGCGGAAAUGGGGUGUCAAGAUAAAAAAAGAAAAACGAGUAUAAGUUAAAAAAUUAUGGAAAAAUAUGAGCGAAAAAGAGAGAGGGAAAGAAUACCUUGCAACGGAUAACUACACAAAUUAUAGACUUGAUCUGAACUAGUACACUGAUGGUAUAAAAAUCAUGAAAGUAAUUGAAACAAUACCAAGAAAUGUGGCAUAUGUGUACCAGGUUGACAGAAAGGAAUGUCAGUUACAAAGCAAAAUGACCAGUAGUGAGAUAAGAAUUCGUAAACAAAAGGUAGCAAGCGAGCAAUUGAUAAAGAGUGUAGGUCAAGUGCGGCCACCCAAAGAAAAGAAAUUACAGAGAUUGAAAAGAUUCGACAAAAUUAAGUGCCAGACUAGCGGAAAGUAAACAGUUGAGAUUGAUGAGAUUGACAAAAGAGUAAAAAUUAAUCGCAGAACAGACGGUGCAACAAAAAAAGGUAAUAACGAAAAAUACGAUUCAAGAAAUUAUCAAAAUGAGGGAAUCGCUGUAGAGUGAUUAACAAAAUUGAUGAACUUAUUAACAAAUGUUAAAAAUAUUGAGUAAUAAAAUACAGAAUACAUCCGUAAGGAUAGAGUAUCGCGAGCGCGAAGAUAAUUGACGACACUAGGAGUGCCUGAGAGAGAGAGUAAUAAGAUAAGAUAAGAUAAGAUACAGUGAAUUAUACAUGUCGAGAAAAGAGUACAUUUGUAAUCAGAUUAUUUUUUAUGAUUGCAGGUGAGUAGCUGAUGCAACUUUACACUUAAUGACAGUGGUGGUGGGUAAGUACGCAAAAAUGGAGCAACGGAAUUUACAGAAAAAAGAAAAGACCUGAAAAAAAGAAUGAUUAGACAUGACAAGAAAAAUUUAGGGUGGUGGGAGGGGGGGGGAAAGAAAGAUAAAUACACUGGACCAACCUUAAGCAAUCACUACAACUAUCACUUAAGCACGUAACACUUUAAUCCAGGUGGGCGGAAGUAGUGCACUAGUGCACAAAAAGUAGAAAGUGGACCGAAUCCAGCAAGUCCUAAUGACUAUACUGAGAGUUUAAGAAAAAUAUUGAAAAUACUAAGGGAAAAUACGAGUUGGUGUUGACAAUGAGACUGUACGAUUACAAUCGACAUACUUAUCAUUUAAGUGCGUGGAAUGUAAUCCCUCCGCCUACUGAUUUAAUAUUACCAGAGUCUUCCAAGAGUUUUUUUUUCAACAACUAUUGGAUUAUUUGUAUGUAAAUUCGACCUUUCGUAUACAAUUGUAUGUAAAAAAAUCCCAGGAAAGGUUUCCUUUUUCGUAAAGUCUAACAGUUUUAUCAAACAUUUUUCAAUUAAAAUUUACAUGUUUCUAAGAGAUUUCUUACAGUCCCUGCUACCAGGGAUACUUAUUCAAGAAAAUGGCAUCGUCUCGAAGUGGCGAGUCGAUUUGGAAGGGAAUGCUGCCAUUGGUGCAUUGGUGUGGAUUUCAUAGUUAAUAGAUUGUGUUGUUCUUUCUUUCCUUCCUUCUAACUGGAGGUUGGAUAUCACCGCCUCACAAAACUGGAGGUUGGAUCUUCCUUAGGGCUUGAGUCAUGUGAUGAUGGGCGCAGCAACUCAAAGGUUCAUAAAAAUAGGUUUAAUUCAACAGGAUGUUUGCGGUCAAAUGCUGUCAGUGCCAAGCUGGUUGGCACGAUUAACAGUAACUGGAAUAUCCUGGUAGCUUUUAGAAGUUUUAAAAAUUAGAGUUUUUCUGUUCUUAGCGGCGAAUCUGCAGGGAAUGAAGAUCAUGGUGUGGUGCGGUAUCGUUUUCGUUGAUAUUAUUGCUGUCGUCGCUAUUGUUCUAUAAUCUUUCCAUAAAACCAACCGUCUAGACAUCCUUUCUCUGUCCAUUGGUGCAACAGUCCUUUAAAAUUAUCAUAUGAUAUUCCUAGCUGUGUUAAGUUGUUGUUGUAUGAGCUAGUAAACUUUGUGGAUUUCACAGUAGAUGGCAUGAGUUGAUCUCUUUUUCUCUUCUUCCUUUCUAAUUGAAGGUUGGAUCCCUUCCAAGGGCUCGUGUCAUGUGAUGAUGGGCGCGCAUUGGCCCAUAGGGUCACAAGAAAACAGGUUGAAUUCAGCGAAUUGUGUGAAGUUCAUUGCUGGCAUCAGGGCCAGGCGGGUUGGCACGAUUAACAAGAACUGGAAUAUCUUGGAAGUUUUUAGAAUUUGUAAAAAUUUCGAGUAUCAUUGGGGGUAUCAUUUGCAUCAAUUCUUGGGUUUUCCUCUCCGUUUUUAAGUAGGUUUAUUUUUCUUAUUUCGUCAUACCCGGUAGCCUCGAUCUUUGAGUUUCCUGCUUCAGAGUGGUUUUUAUUUUCUUUCAAUUGGUCUCUGUUCAAAAGUUGAGUCACAUGCUUCUUCUUAUACACUAUCUAUCUAUGAAUAAACUAUCUAUCUAACACCGGAGGGCGACGUAAAUUGCGCAUCGUCUUCACUUCAUGUUUUUGGUGUUCAGUUCAGUCCUUGCAGUGCUUGUGAAAUUUUUUACAGCAAGUAGUGAAAUAGCACACAAAAAUUCCAAGGAACAAUAAAAAAAGCAAAGAUUUUGCACUAAAUCCUGAGAAAAGGUAAAUAUGGUGUGUGUUAUUUGAAUCCUUAAGGGGCGUGGUUAUGUCGUUGCUAGUGACGCCCAUACUUAUGAGCGAAUAAAAGGAAACUGUCCUUAAGACAAAAGAAGCAGCAAAACACUCUUGCAACAUAAAAAAUUUAGCGGUAAUUUUAACUUUUUUUUUAAUUUGUUCACGUAUCAACUUCUUGUACAUAGAAAUAAGAUAUUUUGUUUUAACUUACAAAUAAAUAAUUGUUAUCAACUAAAUUUUUUUUUUUUAUUAAUUGAAAAAAUGUACAACCACCCCAACUGGGGUGUCAAUUACAAUUUGUUUAAUGGUUCUUAAUUACUAGCUCUUAACCUGUACUUAGAUUUAAGACUAUUAUUUUAACAAUAAAUUCAUACAACAU
rnacentral:lncRNA from 1 species